UACAGAGGGUGCAAGCGUUAAUCGGAUUGACUGGGCGUAAAGGGCGCGUAGGUGGUAAGAUAAGUAAGAUGUGAAAUCCCUGGGCUUAACCUGGGAAUGGCAUUUUAAACUGUUUUGCUGGAGUACGGUAGGGGCAGAGGGAAUUUCCGGUGGAGCGGUGAAAUGCGUAGAGAUCGGAAAGAACACCAACGGCGAAAGCACUCUGCUGGGCCGACACUGACACUGAGAGACGAAAGCUAGGGGAGCGAAUGGG
rnacentral:rRNA from 1 species